rnacentral:sRNA from 1 species
UCGUUUCUGACUGUGUAUAUGUGCAUGC